GAUGAACGCUGGCGGCGCGCCUAACACAUGCAAGUCGAACGGCACCCACCCUCGGGUGGAAGCGAGUGGCGAACGGCUGAGUAACACGUGGAGAACCCGCCCCCUCCUCCGGGAUAGCCUCGGGAAACCGUGGGUAAUACCGGAUGACCCCGCAGGGCCGCAUGGCCCCGCGGGCAAAGCCCAGACGGGAGGGGAUGGCUCCGCGGCCCAUCAGGUAGACGGCGGGGUGACGGCCCACCGUGCCGACGACGGGUAGCCGGGUUGAGAGACCGACCGGCCAGAUUGGGACUGAGACACGGCCCAGACUCCUACGGGAGGCAGCAGUGGGGAAUCUUGCGCAAUGGGGGGAACCCUGACGCAGCGACGCCGCGUGCGGGACGAAGGCCCUCGGGUCGUAAACCGCUUUCAGCAGGGAUGAGACAAGACGGUACCUGCA
rnacentral:rRNA from 1 species